UACAGAGGGGGCAAGCGUUAAUCGGAUUUACUGGGCGUAAAGCGCGCGUAGGCGGCUCAUUAAGUCAAAUGUGAAAUCCCCGAGCUUAACUUGGGAAUUGCAUUCGAUACUGGUUAGCUAGAGUGUGGGAGAGGAUGGUAGAAUUCCAGGUGUAGCGGUGAAAUGCGUAGAGAUCUGGAGGAAUACCGAUGGCGAAGGCAGCCAUCUGGCCUAAAACUGACGCUGAGGUGCGAAAGCAUGGGGAGCAAACAGG
rnacentral:rRNA from 1 species